AUGGAGUUGGUUGAGCUACGCACAACAUCUUUGGCUGAGGCAAUGUUUGACAAGCUUGGGCUCCCAAAACCAGUCUACUAUGUGCGUUUGCUUGAGCAAGGUGGAUAUAGAUCACAGAUUGAAUUUCACCACACAAAAGAGCGUUAUGAUGCUUCAGCGCCCCGCACUAAAUUGUUCAGCCAUAUAUGUGUAAGCGGGGAGGCAGCAAUGGACCAUGCAGCUGACCUAGCCAUUGGAUACAUGGAAAGCUACGGAAGAAAGGUUCUUGUUGAUUAUAACUACCAUCGGCUGCAGCAAGAAAAAUAA
rnacentral:rRNA from 1 species